AUGCCUAGCUACUCCGAGGUCCAGGCCAUCUUCCGAGCCUCCACGACGUGGGCUCUUGGAGACGGCCGUACAUGCCGCUUCUGGGUUGAUCACUGGCUAGAUGGCACGUCUAUCGCGGAGUUUGCCCCACUGAUAUAUGAAAAAGUUCCACGGCGGCGGCGCAAGAUCCCUUCUGUCUGUGAUGCCCUAGCCGACCGUUCCUGGGCGCGAGACAUCUCCGGUUCUCUAGGGCCGGCAGCGCUGGUCCAGUACGUCCAGCUGUGGCAGCGGCUGCGUCAGCUCACUCUCUCGGACUCUCCGGACUCACGCACUUGGCGAUGGACUGCCAACGGCGCCUUCACUGCGAGCUCGUGCUACAAUGCAAUGUUCCUUGGUCCAUCGGGGCCCCCCAUUGGCGGCUCACCUGGCGCCCCUGGGCGCCACUUCGCGUGA
rnacentral:rRNA from 1 species